rnacentral:lncRNA from 1 species
AAGAAAAUAAAUAAAAUAGUUUCAUUAAUAAUCUAAUUACCAGGUGAUUAGUAAUUAAGAAAGAAACCAAAGCUCCUCAAUACAUACAUUACACUGCUACUAAGUCUAAAAGUACCAACAUCCAUUAGCCCUACUGCCCCUACACUCACUACAUCCUCUUGGAUCAACCUGCACUUCUCACCAACAACCAACAUGUUUAUAUAACGCAUACAGUGCAUUAAUCAUGGAACCACCUUGCAGAAAAUGGUUCAUCAUCAGUAGCUGUUCAGUUCCGUGGUUUCUUAUCUCUUCUUCUUCUUCUCCUUCUUCUCACAAUUAGCUAUGCCUCUGGCCUUGGCUUGAGGAGCGUCCCUCACUUCCCUUAGGUACAGCCUUACGGCACCCACACCAAACGUGUUCCAGUCAUGUCGCUUCAGAGAUUCAUAACUGCUUAAAGCUGGGAGCGAUUGUUGUGGCGAAUAUGGUAUUGUUCGACGGUUCUCAUCUCUUUGAUGAGAAGUAGUGCUAUUGGCGGCGGCGGCCGCAGCGGCAGCAGCGGCUGACAUAGUAAUCACUUUGCGUUAGGUGGGCUCAAAGUCAAAACCCUAUGGCGUUGUCUAUAUAUUGGAUAAUUUAUGCAAAGAGAGAAGGGAGAAUAGGUGGAGGAAUGAAGUGAGAAUGAGAACAAUACUACAUACAAGGAAAGAAGGUUUGGGUUAGUACGAAGAAUAAUGGAGGAAGCAAGUGAGAGAGACAAGAGGGGGCCCUUGCAAAACAAAACCACUCACACUUUGAAUAUCUAUCUCAAAUCUCAAUCAUCGCUUUCUUUUUCUGCUAUUUACUACUACUAGUAGAGUAGUGGGAGUAAUAUUCUUCUUUUUCCAACCUUAAUAUUCGAUACCACUCAACACACGUAUCUAAAUUUAUCAUAAUAAAA